GUAAAUGAUUAAUUUCACUACAGAUGAGUUCAGACGGCUACAGGUUUCUCACACAUCAGUACUUCUCAGACAUUAAACCUCCUGACAGCUUUUUUGAAGUGUUGUGUGUUAUGAAGGAAAGCUGAUGAGCUGGCAUUAAUCGUCAUUAAACCGCAUGAUCGGACAGCAAUGGAGGACAAUAAGACUGAUCGCGUAAACCCACCCACAACCCCACCCGCCACGCCCACUUCACCAGUGUCUUCUGAACAGCCAAAAACAGGAGGUAAUGAACGCAUCAAAAAGCUCAUGAUGAAACUCCACCCACUACAAAACGCUGCCCUUACAUUGGCAGUUUGACCUGCCAAUAAUUUCUAACAUGUCCAUCAAUGGAUGGAGGAAAAAGUACCUUUUUUAUUUUGUGUAAACUUCAUUCAUGACUUUGUCUUAAAUUGAUUUAUGAUGUGUUUGUGUGCACACUUCUGUUGUGUUUGUCAUUUAUACUGUAUGCUACUACACAAUAAAACCCCUAACUACUUAAACAUCUCUGUGUGUGUGU